rnacentral:lncRNA from 1 species
CUCCAAUAAAGGAUGCCUGCUUCCAAACUGCCUGCAGAGAAUAUUCACUAUAGUCUCACCUUCUUCUUCUAUGAUGUUCCUUCCUAAUCCUGCCCUGCAAUUCAUUUUGCAUUGCCUGUCGAGUUGCAAUGGAAUUCCCAUGAUGUUUUCACUGACUGCCUGGGCAGCAUCCAUCAGAGAAAUGGAGCAAGGAUAUGUUUCUACAGAAUAAAGCGGUCUGAAAUGCCCUGCUGUCACAGCACAAAACCAAGAGCACCUCUUCAUCUUCCCUCCGGCCAACGAAAGGGGACAGGAUUUUCAGUGAAACCCAGAUGUUGCUGUGAGUAUAUGUGUGCAUUUAUUAACAGAUAAUAGUGGAGGACUGCAAUUUAUAUCUGCAGAAGCUGAAAUAAUUAAGGAGGGUUGGGUAUUAAUGGAUGUAUGUUUUGAACAAUCUCAAAAACUUCUUUGUGUGGAAAAUUAAGAUCCUUGCUGAUAUUGAAAUAUCUCAGAUUGUUGUAAACCCAUGUUUCUAAUAUUUUAACUGGGAAUCACUUUCAUGGUCCGGCACUGCUGAUGCUGCCCCUUCAGAAGCCAGAAAAUGUCAGAUAUCUCAGUAUUUUCAGGAUUGUUUUGUUCCCAUUCAGGCUGACAGACAAAAAGGAGGGUUCUGAGGGAAGCUCUUAUUUCCUCCCUUCCCAUCUCCCUUUGCUCUUGGAAUAGCACCAUUGUACAGCACCGUUAUGCCAAAUUUUUUACAUAGAGACAGACUGGCCUGUCCCACAUUGUCAUUUCGACACUGUUUUUAACAAAGAUGUAUUUUCUGAGGAUCAUGUUUGAGAAUAAAUGGCUUUGGGUCUAGCACUAGUAAAAGAAGAAAAGCAAAUCCAAAGAACCCACUCAUUGAGUUCAGAGUAGCUACAGGGCAAUGCUGCAUCUUGCUUUUUAGGUGAAAUCUGCAAUUUUGUUUAUCCAGAGCAAUCUGUAACAGCUCUAUGGUAAAGCUGCUUUGAGGUUUAGUUUUGAAGUUUACUGCUCCCAGUUUUCAUUUAUUCCAUCAUAAUACAUGCAUAAAACAUUUUUAUUAUGUGGAUAGUAAUUUGCAUGAGCACGAGGACUUUAGCUCAAAUGCUCAUGAACAAGACUGUUCUUCAGUCGGGUCAACUGGAAGUUAUUCUGCUUUACUACAGGGCUUUCAGUUAAUUAAAUUCAAAGAACCUGUUCAACUGCUAAGGCCUGUUAUACUCCAGAUAAGGAAAAAAAUACAUUUUUUCAUCAGUCUCUGGGGACAGACACUGCUGAUGCUCCUCCUGCUGUAGCCACAAUACAGUGGGCCACAAUACAAGUGAAAAGGAGGAAGAAUGUCCUGCCCAAAGUAUUUCAGUGGGACAUACACGUCUGUGAUGAACACAGAAAGGACUAUUCAGAUGCAUUGUGUUAUAUGGAAUGAACUACAUUUCUGAUCUUCUAAUGCAAUGAAUAUUGUGCUCUGCAAGUAAUGUAAUUAACACAGGAAAAGAGGAGUGAACUGCAUUUACAGUAGAAGUGAACUUUACCUAAAAUUAUCAUUUCAGAAAAUUGACUGUUCUUCUAACUGUUGGUAAUUAUUUUUUCCUUUUUUUUCUUGAGUUCCUCUUUAUUUGGAUAGGUAAUAAAAUUAGUUUUGAUCCUGCACACUGAAGGAGAAACCCUAGUGGCCACAUUCUGACUCUACUUGAACUAGUGUAGGAGCUCAUACGGAAAAUUAAGUGAAAAUCAAUUAACAGUUGCCCCGGGCAUUUGAAACAAAUGCCAGGAAUCCCUAAAUGUUUCUCAGUUCUGUAUAAAUCAUAGCUGACAAGUGGUGGUAUCUCUGCUUCCACUGAAAAUUUGCUUUGUUACAGUGAAAAUUCUUUUAUUAUAUAUAGUUGCUGAUGUACAUAUAUAUAUGUAUUAACCGUCUACAUUUUCUCAUGUGCAUCUUCCAUAAAUCUCCUUUUGAGUCUCUUCCAAAGAAACUAACCUAUGCUUUUGAAGAAAAGAUGACUACCUGGUUGAAGAAAAGGAGUAAUGGAGAACACAUUCUUCAAGGUAUUUGAUAGUAUUCACUGCACCAUCAGGAGAUAUCUUUGUUUGGUACAAAGUGCUAAAGCCUUAAAAGACUAAAGCCGAACAAUAAUGAAUAGAACUGAUUUCCCAUCUUUGGAUUCUAGAGUGCUGACAUGGGAGUUUGAAGACGGUGGAAGGAAUUUAUGGACUGUAUUUACUGAUGUAAUUCAAUAAUUAAAGAUAAUUGUACAAUUUCUCUUAAGCUUGUUGAAAUUCAAGUUUUCUUUUGCUUUAGGCACGACCCAAAAAAUGUAAUAAUAUUUACCAUACUACCUAAUUUAUGUAUGUCUUUAAAUAGUUUACAAAGUGAAUUGAUAAUACAAAAAGUACCCAAAAUCAGAGAGAGAAUUUGUACAGAUUUAUACAAAUCUACGAACUUGAAAAGCCUGCCUUUGUCUCAGAACUUCUAUCUUUGUUUCAAAGAGAGAAACUGGUACAUUACGUAGAUAGGAGAAAAGGAACUGAAGGGUAUAGAUAAAGGAGAAAUGAGCUUAAAGCCUAAGGAAGAGGAAAAAAAUAUAUAAUACAAUCGGAGUGAUCAGAGAUAAAGAACAAGAAAAAAUCAUCAAGAGAUUUUUCUUGAAAGAGGAGGUAGAAUGGAGAUGUAUUUUGUAGGCUACUCUGUUGGAUUAAAGAAGGCCUGAAAUGAAAAGGUAUGUGCAACAAAGGCGUGAGGCAGAUGGAAGGCUUCUCUUCUUAUUUCCUAAGGCUGAGGGCUUCCAGUCCUUUUUGCAUUUGGCUAAUUGCAAAGUCUGCAAUCUCAAAGGGUCACAAUCAUUUUCAGCUUUUGCUGGUGAGAGACACAAAGCAGACAACACUGCACGUUGCUCCUGCUAUAAUAAGAUGUCAUUUCAUCAGGAGGAGUAGACAAAAGGAUAGAUCUUCCUCUUUCCUCUUUUCCUCUGUUUUGCUUUGGGAUAUAACAUUCAGUUUCUCUCUCCAGUUUCCUACAACAUCACAAGGCCAGUUUUUGCUUUGAACUUCAGUAAUAUCAAGUACCUUCCAUGUAAAUGGUGCUUGAGAUAUAAGCGUAUUGCAUGGCCUCUGAGAAACCAAGACCACAUGGAAACUGUUCCCCCCCAAUUUCUGCCAAUAACGUCAGAUUUUGCAUUGCUUCCCCAACAAGAACUGCCCUGUAUCAGAGGCCAGCUUUGUGCAGGGGCUGAUGGUUCUGUAUAGUUUGUGUUUGUGAGCCAUCAAAGGCUUUGAGUGGGAGAGAGGAAACGAUGAAGGAAACCUGGAAUCUGUGCCCAUACUGUUGCAACCUUUCUGAGUUUACUUUAAGAAUCUUUAUCCAGCUCUUCAUCUUUUCACUUUGAUCACUGUAACAUCUCUUCACCUUGGUUUCUAGCUUUUUCCUUUCCCCACACCAUCAAUCUGCACAGAUGCUGCUUUUUCCAGUCAGAGCCUCUUUUGGCAUUUUUGCACUUUACCUCCAUCUUAUUUCUGAACUUCUGUUUCUCUUGUUGUCCCUCGGUGACUGUGUUUUUGCAUGCUGUAGAGAUACUCAAUGCUUUUUUUUUCUGUGCCAUGUCCUCAUUCUAUUCUAUGACCUCUUUUGUGCUGCCUGUACUCCAGGAGUGCUGAGACAAACA